rnacentral:rRNA from 1 species
GACAGAGGGGGCAAGCGUUGCUCGGAAUUACUGGGCGUAAAGGGCGCGUAGGCGGCCUGCUAAGUCGGACGUGAAAUCCCUCGGCUCAACCGAGGAACUGCGUCCGAUACUGGUGGGCUUGAAUCCGGGAGAGGGAUGUGGAAUUCCAGGUGUAGCGGUGAAAUGCGUAGAUAUCUGGAGGAACACCGGUGGCGACGGCGGCAUCCUGGACCGGUAUUGACGCUGAGGCGCGAAAGCUAGGGGAGCAAACGGG